AAGACCUUAUGCUUUUGGAGCGGCCGAUGUCUGAUUAGCUAGUUGGUAAGGUAAUGGCUUACCAAGGCAACGAUCAGUAGUUGGUCUGAGAGGACGGCCAGCCACACUGGGACUGAGACACGGCCCAGACUCCUACGGGAGGCAGCAGUGGGGAAUUUUGGACAAUGGGCGAAAGCCUGAUCCAGCAAUGCCGCGUGAGUGAAGAAGGCCUUCGGGUUGUAAAGCUCUUUCAGUCGAGAAGAAAAGGUUGUAACUAAUAAUUACAACUUACGACGGUAUCGACAGAAGAAGCACCGGCUAACUACGUGCCAGCAGCCGCGGUAAUACGUAGGGUGCGAGCGUUAAUCGGAAUUACUGGGCGUAAAGGGUGCGCAGGCGGUUCUGUAAGUCAGAUGUGAAAUCCCCGGGCUUAACCUGGGAACU
rnacentral:rRNA from 1 species